rnacentral:rRNA from 1 species
UCCAGACUCCUACGGGAGGCAGCAGUGAGGAAUAUUGGUCAAUGGGCGCGAGCCUGAACCAGCCAAGUCGCGUGGGGGAAGACGGUCCUAUGGAUUGUAAACCUCUUUUGUCGGGGAGCAAAAGACGCCACGCGUGGCGUUCCGAGAGUACCCGAAGAAAAAGCAUCGGCUAACUCCGUGCCAGCAGCCGCGGUAAUACGGAGGAUGCGAGCGUUAUCCGGAUUUAUUGGGUUUAAAGGGUGCGUAGGCGGACUGGAAAGUCAGCGGUAAAAUCGAGAGGCUCAACCGCUUUCCGCCGUUGAAACUGUCGGUCUUGAGUGGGCGAGAAGUAUGCGGAAUGCGUGGUGUAGCGGUGAAAUGCAUAGAUAUCACGCAGAACUCCGAUUGCGAAGGCAGCAUACCGGCGCCCGACUGACGCUGAGGCACGAAAGCGUGGGUAUCGAACAGGAUUAGAUACCCCAGUA